rfam:Anopheles sinensis unplaced genomic scaffold AS2_scf7180000696135, whole genome shotgun sequence.
UUCUUCCUUGUCUUGGGGAGCAGAAUGUCCAAUGAGCGUAUAGUGAGGGCAUUGCUGCUGACAAUAAACCCAUUACCCGAAGGGUGGUGCAUCCUUGCACCCCGUUCGCUAACCCCCCGGCCGGUGGAUCGCUUUCGAACAGCUGAUCCUGCUGGUCGGAAUUUUUGAAGCG